rnacentral:rRNA from 1 species
GGAUUAGAUACCCUGGUAGUCCACGCCGUAAACGAUGAUAACUAGCUGUCCGGGCUCUCAGAGCUUGGGUGGCGCAGCUAACGCAUUAAGUUAUCCGCCUGGGGAGUACGGUCGCAAGAUUAAAACUCAAAGGAAUUGACGGGGGCCUGCACAAGCGGUGGAGCAUGUGGUUUAAUUCGAAGCAACGCGCAGAACCUUACCAGCGUUUGACAUGUCUAGUUUGGUUUCCAGAGAUGGAUUCCUUCAGUUCGGCUGGCUAGAACACAGGUGCUGCAUGGCUGUCGUCAGCUCGUGCCG